UGGCUACAGUGUCGCGCUGAACCCCACGGAGAACGGACGGCCUGCCCAAACUCGCCGGAUUCCUACCGGUCCCGGCCAACCCACCUCGCCGAACCAAUCUACCAACCACGAGCUCGAAACCCUAGCCACGCCCAUGGGCGACGACGCGGCCCACGAGCUCGAAACCCUAGCCGCGGCCAUGGUCGACGGCGCGGCCGCCGCCGCGCCCCCCUCGCCGUCGCCCUCCCCAUCCUCUCCUUCCUCAUCAGGCGCCUCCCCGUCGCCCUCCUCCCCGCGCACCAAGCGCCGCCGCACCGACCGGUACGCGCUCGGCUUCGAGUUCGCCCCGCGGCUCGCUCCCUACGAGGUCGUGGCCCCUCGCGCCGGGCCCAAGUGGACGGAGCGCUCCACCUUCGCGCUCCUCGACGCCUGGGGCGACCGCUUCGUCCGCCCGGGGGCGGGCCGCAGCGGCAUUAGUGCCGAUGAGUGGCUCGAGAUUGCUCGCCUCGCGUCCGCUGCCGCCGAACGGCCCCCGGGGUACUUCUCCGAGACGCACUGCCGCAACCGCAUCGACACGCUCAGGAAGCAGUUUAAGAAGGAGAAGGAGAGGGCGCGCCUCUCCGCGCGCCGCGGCGUUCCCUCCCCCUUCGGCCCCGUGAAAUGGGUCUACUACGACAAGAUGGAGUCAAUCUUGUGCCCGUCGCCCCCGCCCCCGCUACUUCCCCCGUUCCAGUCUCCGGUCGUGAAGCGCCGCCGCGACACGCAGCCAUCCCCGCGUUUGGGAUGGGGGAUGAAGGCUCCGGAGUGUCUGCUGGGCGGCGGUGCAGAGGCAGCGCCCAGAGUUACGAGGCCGGUAGCGGAAUCGGGUGAACCUGAACCGCAGAAAAUUAGCGCCGUUGAAGGGAAUCGGAACGGGUUCAUGGCUCUCACGGAGUCGAUUCAGAAGUUUGCAGAGGUUUUUGCAAGGAUAGAGAGUAGUAAGAGGCGGCACAUGGCCGAGGUGGAGCAAAUGAGGAGGGAUUUGCAAAGGGACCUCGAUGCAAAGUGGAGAGAGAUUUUGGAGAAGGCACAAGCGGAGAUUGCUAGUCUCAAUGAUGAGGAUGAGGAUGAGGGUGAUGUGGAGGAAGAUGGGGAUGCUGGUGAUGAUAAGAUAUUGGAGGAUGGUGGUGGUGAAGAGCAAAACAAUGGUGCCAUGGAUGCUUCUCCGUAGCAUACAGCCUGGAAGUUCACAAAAUGAGUUUCAUGUGGAGAGCCAUAUUAUUCAAGAAACGAAGUGUAUGGUUGCCAAUGCCAACAGUGCUCGGGAGCAGCUUACUCCCAUGAACAAAAAUUGGGGGCUUUCAUGUCAAUAGAUGAAUCCACAUGGUAGGCAGGUGAUUAUGAUUAACUCUGUAACUGCUGAUAUUAGGAUUGUGAGUACUCAGAUCCCAAGAGAUAUGUAGCUAAUGAAUUAACAGGGAAUAUAUCUGCCAACAACCAGUGCAGAUUGUUGUGUAAUUCUCUUUUGUGUGUUGUCCUCAUCAAUGCUGCUAAGCAAAAUAUUACUGCUCUUUUGGUUACUGUAUAUGGCUAUUGGCUUACUGACGUGUGAUUUCGAGAUAAUGGCAUUUGAUAGCUUGUAGUC